ACGCGAAAGCCCCCUUCGGGGGGCAAGUAGAGUGGCGCACGGGUGAGUAACACGUAGGUAGUCUACCUUUGGAUUGGGAAUAACCACCGGAAACGGUGGCUAAUACCGAAUAAUGCAGCGGCACCUAAUGGUGACAGUUGUUAAAGCGGGGGAUCGCAAGACCUCGCGUCUGAAGAGGAGCCUGCGGCGGAUUAGCUAGUUGGUAAGGUAACGGCUUACCAAGGCGAUGAUCCGUAGCCGGCCUGAGAGGGCGGUCGGCCACACUGACACUGACAUACGGGUCAGACUCCUACGGGAGGCAGCAGUCGGGAAUUUUGGGCAAUGGGCGAAAGCCUGACCCAGCAACGCCGCGUGAAGGAUGAAAUCCCUCGGGAUGUAAACUUCGCAAGAACGGGAAGAAUAAGUAGGGGACAAUACCCUCUACGAUGACGGUACUGUUUGUAAGCUCCGGCUAACUCCGUGCCAGCAGCCGCGGUAAUACGGGGGGAGCAAGCGUUG
rnacentral:rRNA from 1 species